rnacentral:rRNA from 1 species
UACGUAGGGUGCAAGCGUUAAUCGGAAUUACUGGGCGUAAAGCGUGCGCAGGCGGUUGUGCAAGACCGAUGUGAAAUCCCCGGGCUCAACCUGGGAAUGGCAUUGGUGACUGCACGGCUAGAGUGUGUCAGAGGGGGGUAGAAUUCCACGUGUAGCAGUGAAAUGCGUAGAGAUGUGGAGGAAUACCGAUGGCGAAGGCAGCCCCCCUGGGAUAACACUG